rnacentral:rRNA from 1 species
GGAAUAUUGGACAAUGGGCGAAAGCCUGAUCCAGCCAUGCCGCGUGUGUGAAGAAGGUCUUCGGAUUGUAAAGCACUUUAAGUUGGGAGGAAGGGCAGUUACCUAAUACGUGAUUGUUUUGACGUUACCGACAGAAUAAGCACCGGCUAACUCUGUGCCAGCAGCCGCGGUAAUACAGAGGGUGCAAGCGUUAAUCGGAAUUACUGGGCGUAAAGCGCGCGUAGGUGGUUUGUUAAGUUGGAUGUGAAAUCCCCGGGCUCAACCUGGGAACUGCAUUCAAAACUGACUGACUAGAGUAUGGUAGAGGGUGGUGGAAUUUCCUGUGUAGCGGUGAAAUGCGUAGAUAUAGGAAGGAACACCAGUGGCGAAGGCGACCACCUGGACUAAUACUGACACUGAGGUGCGAAAGCGUGGGGAGCAAACAGGAUUAGAUACCCGAG